CGCGUAGGCGGCUUUGUAAGUCUGGAGUGAAAGUCCUCUUUUCAAGGGAGGAAUUGCUUUGGAAACUAUAGAGCUUGAGUGCAGGAGAGGUUAUCGGAAUUCCCGGUGUAGCGGUGAAAUGCGUAGAUAUCGGGAGGAACAUCGGUGGCGAAGGCGGGUAACUGGACUGCAACUGAUGCUGAGGCGCGAAAGUGUGGGGAGCAAACA
rnacentral:rRNA from 1 species